rnacentral:rRNA from 1 species
UACAGAGGAUGCAAGCGUUAUCCGGAAUGAUUGGGCGUAAAGCGUCUGUAGGUGGCUUUUUAAGUCCGCCGUGAAAGUCCAGGGCUCAACCCUGGAAUGCCGGUGGAAACUGUCGGGCUGGAGUCCGGAAGAGGCGAGUGGAAUUCCUGGUGUAGCGGUGAAAUGCGCAGAUAUCAGGAGGAACACCAAUGGCGAAGGCAGCUCGCUGGGACGGUACUGACGCUGAGACGCGAAAGCGUGGGGAGCAAACAGG